rnacentral:rRNA from 1 species
CGUAGAGUGCGAGCGUUAAUCGGAAUUACUGGGCGUAAAGCGUGCGCAGGCGGUUUUGUAAGACAGAUGUGAAAUCCCCGGGCUCAACCUGGGACCUGCAUUUGUGACUGCAAGGCUAGAGUACGGUAGAGGGGGAUGGAAUUCCGCGUGUAGCAGUGAAAUGCGUAGAUAUGCGGAGGAACACCGAUGGCGAAGGCAAUCCCCUGGACCUGUACUGACGCUCAUGCACGAAAGCGUGGGGAGCAAACAGGAUUAGAUACCCUGGUAGUCCACGCCCUAAACGAUGUCAACUGGUUGUUGGGUCUUUACUGACUCAGUAACGAAGCUAACGCGUGAAGUUGACCGCCUGGGGAGUACGGCCGCAAGGUUG